AUACGGAGGGUGCAAGCGUUAUCCGGAUUCAGUGGGUUUAAAGGGUACGUAGGCGGAUAGAUAAGUUAGUGGUGAAAUCCCGAAGCUCAACUUCGGAACUGCCAUUAAAACUGUCUAUCUUGAAUUUGGUUGAAGUGGGCGGAAUAUGACAUGUAGCGGUGAAAUGCAUAGAUAUGUCAUGGAACACCGAUAGUGAAGACAGCUCACUAAGCCAAUAUUGACGCUGAGGUACGAAAGCAUGGGUAGCGAACAGGAUUAGAAACCCGAGUAGUCC
rnacentral:rRNA from 1 species